CCAGGCAGCCCCACGGAGCGAGGGAGCAGGCUCUGACCCCGCGAGCGCCCACGGGCCUCGGCAGAUGUAGCAAGAUGGAUAAGGCCCUGGCCCCCUGGAGGAGGACAGUACUCGCAUGAACAAAUGAGUACCCAGCAGUGUCUCAGAGGAAGCUGUUCAGCUGUGCCAAAGCUCCAGGGCUCCAGGAUGGAGUCAGCACCAUUUCAGGGAACUGGGAUUCCUGACGGGGGAUGCAGCAGGAGCUCCACAAUUAUUCUACCCCUGCUGAAUUGUCUGCCAUGUACAAAUGCAGGAUGCAGCCAUGCCCAGUGACCCGUCCAUGUCAGGUCCUCACUUGCUCUUCGCUCUCUGCAUGCUGCGAACCACCUCCAUUGUUAACAGCCGCUCCAGGGGGCAUCUAGUGCCCAGGGGAGAGGUGCCUGAAACACCAUCACCAGACCUAUAUCUUCACGUCCUUGCCUUGAAAGGAAGCCUCUCAAAAUCCAAGAACCAGAGAAUUAAAACUACGCUUAGGUCAACACAGUGCCGGUGUUCAGAUGAAAAUACUGCAAGAUCGUCAAACACAUAGAUGAAUUUUUCAAGCCACCCAAAACCUGGAUAAUGUUGAACAUUUGGAUAAUCAAAUAUAGCAACUCUAUCCAGUCUCUCUUUUGGAUGACUCACUGGACACUUUUAUAGACUGGGAAUUUUUUGACUACAAUAAUAACCAUCCUGCCAUUGAAGUUCAGCUGUUCACCGUGGCCUGGUGUCACAUAGCUACAGCUGAUGGUACUGUGUUAUGUACGAGAUAGUGAUAUGUAAAGACCAGUUUUUUACCAGACUGCUUUUCAUAAAAAGAUGUUUAAAAAGACUGGAACAUAGCACUCAAGUUUCCUCCUAAACAAUGAAUGCUCUGGCCUACAGGCCUUCUGAGAUCUGGAGACCCAUUCUUCAAAAGAGAAAGACUAUGCAUGAAAUUUAAUCCAUGCCCUCUCCUCUUAAUCAGGUUACAGAGAGAGAGGAAGGGGUGGAAGGACCUGCCAUUGAGCUGAGAGUGAAAUGCCACCGGGGUCUUUGGGACCCUAUCAAAGGCUGGGACCCUGAGACCUGUGAGGCCUGGCUGGUGCUUAAUAACGAGCUUCUGUAGUUUGCUGACCAGAAACCUCCUCACUCGUUAAAGUCGCUCCACACACUAGCUGGGACAUGCAUCUUCUGCCCUUGGCCAUUGGCUCUUUGGUUCUCGAGCCUUCAGGCUUGGAUUGCAUUCCUCACACCACUGGCUUUCCCGGUUCUCCAGAUGGCAGCGCGUGGGACUUCUCAGCCUCCGGAAUUAUAUUGUGUGCUCCAAUAAUACAGGAAAUUUUAUUAGUUGCAUUCAAUGAUGUAUCAUGAAUACCUGAAAUAGAGUCUGAUACACAGUAGGUGCUUCAAAGAUAUUGUGAACUGAACGAAUGGCUGGGAGCAAAGAGAGAGUGAGAUCUUUCAGAACUCUGGUAACAAUAACGCCGUCUCCAAAUGUCGUGCCUUUUGCUGAAGGAGCGUCUUCCCGAUUUUAAUGGUCGCUGUUCUCCGUAUAAAAAAAGCCAGGAUCCCCCUGGAGUGCCAGGACCUCCCACCUGCGGCAGUCCUGGUUGGUCAGGAACACAAGCAGAUAUCAGACAACCGCCCAGGGUGCCUAUUCAAAGAGAAGGCGCUUUCACU
ensembl:lncRNA